rnacentral:lncRNA from 1 species
ACAUUUCUCUAAUGGAAAGUUCACCAAAUAAUGGGCUGAUAACUUUUAGGUCAGACCAAAAGACUCCAAUUCCCAGCAGGAGAGUGAUUGAUUGGUUAAUUGAUUCAUUGAUUGAUUUCCAAUUUGCUUAACCUUUCAAAGACCCCCCUUUUUUAUAUAUAAAGUAUGGGAAAAUAAUUCAGCUUCUCAGUGUUCUAAAAUUAUGUGAGAUUAUGAAAAUUGCUUACAAAUAGCUCAUAGUUUGCAUACAUUGAAUUACAUCAGCAGCUAUCUCCACUGAUAUUGCUACAAGGGAGGAAGCUUUUCCCUGCAGAAAUCAUCACUGACGUGGUGAUGUGAGAUGGUCAAAACCUGCUGUGAGAUUAGCUCUAGACACAAACAUGGGCAAGUAGAUUCCGAAAAUGUCCCACAGUGUGCAAGACAUGAGUAUCAAUUUACUCGCUAAAACUGGGCCACAGGAUAAACAGAAAGAAGGUUCAAUGUGGCUGAAAUGAGGUGUCGUUUGGAGUGGUCUCCUUAGUUAUUCAUGCACUACUGUUAUUUGUGAGAAAUUGCCUCGUUAUCUUAUGAGGUAUUGAUUCGUUUACUUAUGCAUGCAUUUAGUGUUAGGUUUGGUGCCUGAGCACAGGCCCACUCAGCCAGGCAUGAAUCCUCUCACAAAGUGAUACCAGGAGCCUGUAGAAAAUGUGAAAGGCACAAAGGGUAAAUUAGAAAACGAGUCACUCAUCAUUUUCCCACUCAAGACACAGGGGUGAUGUUAUUGUCACAAUUUUUUAUGUGUAUGAAUUUGUACAUAUUGAAGUUACAUUUUCUGAAAUGAUUUUCAGGGGGAAAAUGUUAAUUAAUUGACUUCCUACUACGCAGAUGCAGAAAAAAAUACCCACACUAGAAUUGUGUCUGUGUGUGUGUGUGUCCCUGUGUCUGUGUGUAUCUGCCUGUCUGAAUGAACCUGAGUAUAGACCACCUGUGGCCAAUGAUAACUAACUUCUAAACUCCUAAACUUAUUUAAAUAUUGUGAGUCUUUCUUUUUGUUCAGUUCAAGCAUGGACAUCAAAGCUGACAUUAAUAACAUAGCAUCCAAAGCCACAGAUUGAACAUACAAAGAUGUCUGGUGAUUCUUAGACAUUUGGGGUUUAUCACAGACCCUUACAUGAUCUUCUAUAAACCAAGGACUCUUGUCACAGAAAGAUCUCAUCUGCCUCUGUACAAGCCAUUUUUCAGUGCACAGAACAUCGGCAGGUUCACUGGAUCUUGAAGCCUAUCUGUAGCCCUUCAGAAACCCAGCUAGGGUCCCUUCCCACCUCUAGAACAUGCUUAAGUGUCUUUGUAUAAGCCUUCAUUCUGAAGACCAGGCAGAAGGGUCACUGUUAUAAUCUAAACUUUCUUAUGUUCUUAAUUAUGUUUUGCUUUUGUGUUCUAUAACAGAGUAAAGAAUACUGGGGUGGGGGGAAGGUUUGCACCCGUGGGUAGAGUUAUAAAUCAAGACCAGAUGGUGACAUAAAUGUUGUUUUUAUUUUGACAGCAUAGAAAUAUUCUUAGCUAUGACCUUUGGAGUGGUCUUAAGGAGGAAGAUUGAAUCUUGUGGACUGAAAGAAUGUGCAAUGAUUUAGCUUAAUGUGAGCCAUUUUUAUCCUUUUCUUGUGUUUGGAUCUCUAUUAUCUGUCUGAAAUGUGUACAGUGAGGCCAUGGGGAAGGUCUUCUGUCUAAUUAUUUGCUAUGCUGUGUGGAAGGUACCUCAGACAGUCAAUAUCAAUCAAUAGUAAUUGUAACCUGGCUCAGAGACUGGAGUCAGAAGCUAUAGGUCUAUGGUACUUUUCAUUAAUUUUCUUUUGCUAGUUUUUCUAUAAUUUUAAGAUUAAUUUAGAAGCUGUGUUUGCUUAUGAGAACAAAUAGCCACUGUUUCUUUUCUUUUGCUUUUUUUUUUUGAGAGAGAAAGAGAGAGAGAAUGUAAUCCCAGGUGUUUUCUCUCUGUUAAUGAGAAAAAUGUCUUUUUGCUUCAGAUUGAAUGAGCAGAGCGGGGGGACGGGAGAUUUGCAUGGCUAAAUGACUGUGGGCCCUUCCUUGUGGAAGUAAUAUUCCCCUGCUGUCAAUUACUUCUAUCGAGACAUCUGGAUGUUUAUCCUAGAAGUGUGCAGAUGUCAACUUGUUCUGUAUCGCACUUGGAAAUGUGGUGAUAACUUGACUUUGAUUUGAGUAAACAUGAAAUAUCUAGCAUUUAAAGUCAGAAGUUCACUGUAGGAAAGAGUUUAGACUGACGUUUAUUAAAAACAAUGGUGCCUUGGAAAGGAAAUUGGAGCCCUCCCUAAAGAAAUAGACACUCAGAUAAAGUAAACAAAGCUAUAGUUACACUUUCUUAAACCAAUAGCACAGUUUGAUAAUGCUAUUUAUCUACUCCUUCAACUUGCAGAAACUGGAGCUGAGGACAUUGACAUUCUUCCCAAUGGCCUGGCUUUCUUUAGCGUGGUGAGUACCAUUUUCUUGUCCCAUGUGCAGUGAGGGACAGACAGGGCCAUUAAUUUAAACCCAUAGAAUAGAAACAGAUUUUAAAUUCCUCAUCUCUCAAAGUAAAUUCUGAGAAAAAGACGAGUCAGGCUAUGUAGGGAAAAGUCCUUAAUUUUUUCUGAGUGUAGGUAGAGGUGAAAGUCUUUGCUUGCUAAUCAAAUGUCUCUUGUCUCCCAGUUGCAUAGCGCUAGAAUGUUCCAGUUCAAAUUGGUUUUUUUAUCGUGUUAUUUCAAAAGGUAUCUGAGGCUUGAAGAGAUGGCUCCCUUGGUAUGGUGUUCCUUAAGCAAGCAUGAGGACCCGAGUUUCUAUCCCCUGACCCCAGGUCUAAAAGC